rnacentral:rRNA from 1 species
AAAAGGACUCUCGGUAACGGAUAUCUCGGCACUCGCAUCGAUGAAGAACAUAGCGAAAUGCGAUACUUGGUGUGAAUUGCAGAAUCCCGUGAACCAUCGAGUCUUUGAACGCAAGUUGCGCCCGAAGCCAUUAGGCCGAGGGCACGUCUGCUUGGGCAUC